CUACGGGUGGCAGCAGUGGGGAAUAUUGGGCAAUGGGCGCAAGCCUGACCCAGCAACGCCGCGUGAGGGAAGAAGGUUUUCGGAUUGUAAACCUCUGUCCUUGGGGACGAAGAAGUGACGGUACCCAAGGAGGAAGCUCCGGCUAACUACGUGCCAGCAGCCGCGGUAAUACGUAGGGAGCAAGCGUUGUCCGGAAUUACUGGGCGUAAAGGGUGCGUAGGCGGCAUAUUAAGUCAGGUGUGAAAUACUCGGGCUCAACCCGGGGGCUGCAUUUGAAACUGAUAUGCUUGAGUGUGAGAGAGGAAAGUGGAAUUCCUAGUGUAGCGGUGGAAUGCGUAGAUAUUAGGAGGAACACCAGCGGCGAAGGCGACUUUCUGGCUCAUAACUGACGCUGAGGCACGAAAGCGUGGGGAGCAAACAGGAUUAGAUACCCUGGUAGUC
rnacentral:rRNA from 1 species